ensembl:lncRNA
CCCUCCCCCCUCUGUGCCCGCGCGAGCCUGUUGAGGGGCGCGGUUGAGCGCGCGCCCGGCAGCCGUUCGGGGGCCUUAGCAGAGAAUUGAAACUGAGCUGAUGCUGACAGAGGCUCUGGAACAGUACCAAAUCAUCAGAGCAGGAUAGUGCUGGCUAUGGAGUCCUGGAAAGAGGCAGGGAUGAACAAGCUGAACCAGGAGCUGCGGUGCUCUUGUCUGCGACUGCCUGAGAGAAGCAACUGAGUUGGAGACCAGAAAAAGAGUGGAUAAGUGGUUGGUCCUCACGAUGGAGAGAAGCCAACAGCUUCUACAGGGACCAUGCCAGGACCUGUGUUGUUCAAUAUCUUCAGCCGUGCCGAGGUUUUCUGUUGAUGCAACGCUAUUCCAAGCAGACCGUGAGGUGGUUCUUGUGCAAUUGGAGGGACCACGGUUUGAGAAGGGGGAGCAGCACAGGUACCUCUAUGGGCAUCUCCCUGGACGGAGACUCCAGGGCUCCAGUCCCCAUGGACACUGCAGGCAGGAUUCAGAUGUUCCUGGUGCUGUCCAAGGGGUCCUGGGGCAUCCAAGAGCUGGCAGAUACAACAUGGGACUUGCAGACAGCUGGACAGCCUGGAAGCAGCAGGAGACAAGGUGAGCUGCCCAGCACUUCACUUAGCACAUGGUGCCUGUUUAGCAACUGUCCUCUCACUCAAGUCUAGGAAUGAUUUUGCUCUUAGCCCCACUCUAGAGACCUGAGUGCAGCCCCAUCUUCCCCAAAGUAUAUAUUUACAAUGAGCACUUCAAAGUCACAGAAUCACAGAAUGGCUAAGGUUGGAAGGGACCUCUGGAGAUCAUCUAGUCCAACCCUCUCACUCAAGCAGGGUCACCUAGAGCACAUUGUACAGGAUCGCGUCCAGGCGGGUUUUGAAUAUUUCCAGAGAAGGAGACUCCACAACCUCUCUGGGCAACCUGUUCCAGUGCUCUGUCACCCUCACAAUGAAGAAGUUUUUCCUCAUGUUCAGAUGGAACUGUCUGUGUUUCAGUUUGUGCCUGUUGCCUCUUGUGCUGUCGCUGGACACCACUGACCACUGAAUCUGGCCCCAUCCUCUUGACACCCUGCCUUUAGAUAUUUGUAUAAGAUCCUCUCUCAGUCUUCUCUUCCCCAGGCUAAACAGGCCCAGCUCUCUCAACCUUUCCUCAUAGGGGAGAUGCUCCAGUCCUCUAAUCAUCUUUGUAGCCCUCUGCUGGACUCUCUGCAGUAGUGCCAUGUCUCUCUUGUACUGGGGAGCCCAAAACUGGACACAGUACUCCAGGUGUGGCCUCACCAGGGCUGAGUAGAGGGGGAGGAUCACCUCCCUCCACCUGCUGGCAAUGCUCUGUCUAAUGCACCCCAGGAUACCAUUGGCCUUCUUGGCCACAAGGGCACAUUGCUGCCUCGUGGUCAACUUGUUGUCCACCAGGACUCCCAGGUCCUUCUCCGCAGAGCUGCUCUCCAGCAGGUCAACCCCCAAGUGGAUAUCACAGUGGAUACAUACUGGAAAACCUUCCCUGUAUAGCUAAGACAUAAGUCAAUUAGGAAGAAGCCCGGCCUUAAAUGCAAUAAGAUGCUCAAACUGAUAGAAGAGCAGCCACAGAGAGGACUUGCUACCCGGGUA